AUCCAGAUGACGAGUCCCUUAACUAGGACGAAAUGUGCAUCCUGGAC
rnacentral:hammerhead_ribozyme from 1 species